GAUGAACGCUGGCGGUAUGCUUAACACAUGCAAGUCGAACGGACUCUUCGGAGUUAGUGGCGGACGGGUGAGUAACGCGUGAGAAUCUGCCUACAGAUUGGGGACAACGUCGGGAAACUGACGCUAAUACCGAAUGUGCCGAGAGGUGAAAGAUUUAUCGUCUGUAGAUGAGCUCGCGUCUGAUUAGCUAGUUGGGGCGGUAACGGCGCACCAAGGCGACGAUCAGUAACUGGUCUGAGAGGAUGACCAGUCACACUGGGACUGAGACACGGCCCAG
rnacentral:rRNA from 1 species